rnacentral:rRNA from 1 species
UAGGGAAUCUUCGGCAAUGGACGAAAGUCUGACCGAGCAACGCCGCGUGAGUGAAGAAGGUUUUCGGAUCGUAAAACUCUGUUGGUAGAGAAGAACGUUGGUGAGAGUGGAAAGCUCAUCAAGUGACGGUAACUACCCAGAAAGGGACGGCUAACUACGUUCCAG